AACACCAUCCGCACAUGUUCCUCAUGGACCUCAAACAACCGGAGAAGCACAGGAAUCACUCGUGACUGGAACAGUGCUGGCGAGAGCAAGCAAGGAGUCUCCCCUGGUGCAUUCUCUACCCCAAAUCAGAAGGGGAUCCAGUACCCUCUAGUGUCUUCCAUGGGGACCAGCCAUGCAUGUAAGGUAUAAAUAUAAAUUAAAAAUAUGUUCUCUAAUCUGAUGUGUCACCAUUGAAAGUCUUAUAAAUCUUACAAAGUUUUCAAGCAAUCACUUUUUCCAAGAAAUAAAGUGAUUUUCACCAA